GUGCUCACUAGGAUGGCAGCACAUAUACUAAAGUUGGAGUGGAACAGAAUGAUAGCAUGGCCCUUAUGCAAGUAUGACACACAAAUUCGUUAAUCAGUCCAUAUUUUA